rnacentral:lncRNA from 1 species
GAAAAAGGAAAAGCUUGCUCUGAGGCUGUUAUUGUCUUACCAUAGUAGGUGGUUAAACAUUGAGAACACCACACCACACACACGAGAAUUUACACAUGGAGCGUACACAAAGUACACACAUACACACCCAUCACUCGCUAGCAUGCAGUGAGCAGACCGGGAUAAGAAAAGAAAGUUACAAGCACUAGUAGACAGUAGUACGAAGCUCAAGACAAACCACAUGCAGCCUCGGACGGCAACGUACGCUAUGCAGGAUUAGAUAACCAAAAGAGCAGCAAACAUGGCGGCGUCGCAGAAGUUGUUGAGCACCCUCUCUUCUUCUUCGGCCGACGGCUCUUAUUUAGCGGUGGUUGCUCCUGGUCCUGGUCUCGUCGCUGUAAAGCCUGGACAUGGAACGUACGUGGCAGCGUUAUUUUUUUCCCCAUGUUUUAACUAUUUGCCAUGUUCACCCGUUUCAAGUUCCCAGUAGAUCGUGUUAUUAACACUGAUAUUAUAUUGUGAGAUAGAUCAUGAGCCAGCGUACCAGUCGUAGACGGUGGGGGAGUUGGGCUGCGGGCGGUCGAAGAGGUUGGCGCCGAGGCUUUUGGUGGCCAGGUUGCUCCCGGGGUGGAAAACGCUCCGCCACACGCUGCCGCCGCGCGGGGGCGUCGACGACGACGGCGUCACCGGCGUGGUCGGGGUCGUCGGCAUCGACGGCGACUGCUUAAUCGCCUCCCCUGCAGCUGCACCUCCACCAACACCCAUGUAAACCACCAUCAGUUCACACAAUGAACCCAAUAGAUCCUCCGCUUAAACAUCAAAUCUUCUUCUGAAAACCACUGGUGCUAGACUGACCGCUAGUUCUUACGUUCUUCCAGUUUCAGGCCAUGUCGGUACCUCUGUGCUAACGUAUGUAAACUGUACCUG